GUUACACCUGUACUACACCACAUGACUGAGUUACAGUACGGACAGGUUACACCUGUACUACACCACAUGACUGAGUUACUGUACGGACAGGUAACACCUGUACUACACCACAUGACUGAGUUACUGUACGGACAGGUUACACCUGUACUACACCACAUGACUGAGUUACUGUACGGACAGGUUACACCUGUACUACACCACAUGACUGAGUUACUGUACGGACAGGUUACACCUGUACUACACCACAUGACUGAGUUACUGUACGGACAUGUUACACCUGUACUACACCACAUGACUGAGUUACUGAAAGGUUACACCUGUACUACACCACAUGACUGAGUUACUGUAUGGACAGGUUACACCUGUACUACACCACAUGACUGAGUUACUGUACGGACAGGUUACACCUGUACUACACCACAUGACUGAGUUACUGUACGGACAGGUUACACCUGUACUACACCACAUGACUGAGUUACUGUACGGACAGGUUAAACCUGUACUACACCACAUGACUGAGUUACUGUACGGACAGGUUACACCUGUACUACACCACAUGACUGAGUUACUGACAGGUUACACCUGUACUACGCCACAUGACUGAGUUACUGUACGGACAGGUUGACCUGUACUACACCACAUGACUGAGUUACUGUACGGACAGGUAACACCUGUACUACACCACAUGACUGAGUUACUGACAGGUUACACCUGUACUACACCACAUGACUGAGUUACACCUGUACUACACCACAUGACUGAGUUACUGUACGGACAGGUUACACCUGUACUACACCACAUGACUGAGUUACUGUACAGACAGGUUACACCUGUACUACACCACAUGACUGAGUUACUGACAGGUUACACCUGUACUACACCACAUGACUGAGUUACUGUACGGACAGGUUACACCUGUACUACACCACAUGACUGAGUUACUGACAGGUUACACCUGUACUACACCACAUGACUGAGUUACACCUGUACUACACCACAUGACUGAGUUACUGUACGGACAGGUUACACCUGUACUACACCACAUGACUGAGUUAAUGUACGGACAGGUUACACCUGUACUACACCACAUGACUGAGUUACUGUACGGACAGGUUACACCUGUACUACACCACAUGACUGAGUUACUGUACGGACAGGUUACACCUGUACUACACCACAUGACUGAGUUACUGUACGGACAGGUAACACCUGUAAUACACCACAUGACUGAGUUACUGUACAGACAGGUUACACCUGUACUACACCACAUGACUGAGUUACUGUACAGACAGGUUACACCUGUACUACACCACAUGACUGAGUUACUGUACAGACAGGUUACACCUGUACUACACCACAUGACUGAGUUACUGUACAGACAGGUUACACCUGUACUACACCACAUGACUGAGUUACUGUACGGACAGGUUACACCUGUACUACACCACAUGACUGAGUUACUGUACGGACAGGUUACACCUGUACUACACCACAUGACUGAGUUACUGUACGGACAGGUUACACCUGUACUACACCACAUGACUGAGUUACUGUACGGACAG
rnacentral:lncRNA from 1 species